rnacentral:rRNA from 1 species
CCCUUAGAUGUUCUGGGCCGCACGUGCGCUACACUGAUGAAUGCAACGAGCUCUACCCUUGACCGAAAGGCCCGGGUAAACUUGUGAAACUUCAUCGUGAUGGGGAUAGAUUAUUGCAAUUAUUAAUCUUCAACGAGGAAUUCCUAGUAAGCGCGAGUCAUCAGCUCGCGUUGAUUACGUCCCUGCCCUUUGUACACACCGCCCGUCGCUCCUACCGAUUGAAUGGUCCGGUGAAAUCUUCGGAUUGCUGACCAAGAUCCAGCAAUGGAGCUUGGUUGCGAGAAGUUGAUUAAACCUUAUUAUUUAGAGGAAGGAGAAGUCGUAACA